rnacentral:rRNA from 1 species
GAUGAACGCUAGCGGCGUGCCUAAUACAUGCAAGUCGAGCGAACGGACGAGAGGCUUGCUUCUUUGAUUUUAGCGGCGGACGGGCGCGUAACACGUGGGUAUCCUACCUAUAAGACUGGGAUAACUUCGGGAAUCCGGAGCUAAUACCGGAACAUAUUUUGAACCGCAUUGUUCAAAAGUGAAAGACGGACUUGUUGUCAUUUAUAGAUGGAUCCGCGCUGCAUUAGCUAGUUGGUAGGGUAACGGCUUACCAAGGCAACGAUCCAUAGCGGAUCUGAGAGGGUGAUCGGCCACACUGGAACUGAGCCACGGUCCGGACUCCUACGGGAGGCAGCAGUGGGGAAUCUUCCACAAUGCGCGAAAGCCUGACGGAGCAACGCCGCGUGAGUGAUAAAGGUCUUCGGAUCGUAAAACUCUGUUAUUAGGAAAGAACAUAUGUGUAAGUGACUGUGCACAUCUUGACGGUACCUAAUCAGAAAGCCACGGCUAACUACGUG